UCUGACUAGUUCGGGGCGCUUAUUGAAAAACGUAGGCGUCCGGGCGACCGCCCGAAAAUUAAACCAAUACUUUAUACGAAAUAUAUCGAAGCUCUAAGGAAAUGUUAGAGCGGAGAAAAUCAAAGAAUCCUAGAGAUUCCAUUCUAAGCGGUGGAUCACUAGGCUCGCGGGUCGAUGAAGAACGGGGCCAGCCCCGAGAAUAAGUGCGAAUUGCAGACACAAAGAGCAUCGACUUUUCGAACGCAUAUUGCGGUAUCGGGCCUGCUCGAUACCACGCCUAUCUGAGGGUCGAAUAAGAACGUAUACAAAGUCUUUCGU
rnacentral:rRNA from 1 species